rnacentral:lncRNA from 1 species
AUUAAAGACAAAGUCCAGAUAUGAAAGUAUAGAAUAUCCGUGCUGCUUCAACACAGAGGGUGCAUGUGGGUUGCAAUCUAGAGAAACAGGCUACUACCCGACUGUGAUGAAAAUUAAACUGAUAACUGAGAUCUUCUCUUAAAGAGACCAAGAAAUUUGAUUCUGAAUUGCCCAGAUUCCUAAAUGCCUUUUUAAGGAUUCCAGUUAGGAGCCUGGAAUGUGACGUGCUGCAAGAAGACUGCUCAGGCACGUGAGAGUUAGGAAGAAUCAUACAGGAGCAGAGAGAAAGCUGAUAGAAGAGCGUGCUGUCUGCUGGGCAUAAUCACUGACUGUUCUGGACCUCACAGAUGUCUCAAGUGCUGCUCUUUGUUCCAAGCUCCCUUUGUUCCCACACUCCUGGAUGCAGCCCACUCCUUGCUUGUUGGUGAUGGAUGGGACUAAAGUAGGAUUUUGCUUGGUGCCAGAAGCUGCCUUUGGAGGCAAACACGUCUGUUGCUCACCUUAUGCAUAGCCACUCUUCAAAUACAAUUGAAAAAUACAUCAAGGAGAGAAUUUUGCGAAGCCUUGAAUCGCUUGGCCACGUCUGACGUGUUUCCAGAACCUCAGCGGGAGAAAAUCUGGACUGUAUACAGAGCUCAGUUCUGCAGCAAAAUCCUAGCCUGUAGGGGAAGCUGUAGCCACGCCUACUUAGGGGCUGGCUACAGGUGUGCCUGACCACGCUUACGAGGGCGUGGUCAGGCUGACAUAGAGCGAGACUGGAAGGGGACUACUGUUUUCUCUUUUGGUCUCUCUUUUGGGCUUGCCUACAGACCUCUGCCACGCCAGCUGGCUAGGUCGCUCUGUAAGUAAGGCUUUUCCCUAUUAAAUACCCUUAUAUUUCUACCUGACUCCGUAUUGGUAAUUUCCCACUAUACUAGCAAUCUUGGAAUC